rnacentral:rRNA from 1 species
AACGAACGCUGGCGGCAUGCCUAACACAUGCAAGUCGAACGAGAUCUUCGGGUCUAGUGGCGCACGGGUGCGUAACGCGUGGGAAUCUGCCCUUUGGUUCGGGAUGACAGUUGGAAACGACUGCUAAUACCGGAUGAUGACGAAAGUCCAAAGAUUUAUCGCCAGAGGAUGAGCCCGCGUAGGAUUAGCUAGUUGGUGUGGUAAAGGCGCACCAAGGCGACGAUCCUUAGCUGGUCUGAGAGGAUGAUCAGCCACACUGGGACUGAGACACGGCCCAGACUCCUACGGGAGGCAGCAGUGGGGAAUAUUGGACAAUGGGCGAAAGCCUGAUCCAGCAAUGCCGCGUGAGUGAUGAAGGCCUUAGGGUUGUAAAGCUCUUUUACCCGGGAUGAUAAUGACAGUACCGGGAGAAUAAGCUCCGGCUAACUCCGUGCCAGCCGCCGCAGUAA